rnacentral:rRNA from 1 species
UACUGCAAGUCGAACGCGAAAGUCCCCUUCGGGGGGCGAGUAGAGUGGCGCACGGGUGAGUAACACGUAGGUAAUCUACCUUUGGAUGGGGAAUAACCACCGGAAACGGUGGCUAAUACCGCAUAAUGCAGCGGCACCUAAUGGUGACAGUUGUUAAAGCGGGGGAUCGUAAGACCUCGCGUCUGAAGAGGAGCCUGCGGCAGAUUAGCUAGUUGGUAAGGUAAUGGCUUACCAAGGCGAUGAUCUGUAGCCGGCCUGAGAGGGCGGUCGGCCACACUGACACUGACAUACGGGUCAGACUCCUACGGGAGGCAGCAGUCGGGAAUUUUGGGCAAUGGGCGAAAGCCUGACCCAGCAACGCCGCGUGAAGGAUGAAAUCCUUCGGGAUGUAAACUUCGCAAGAACGGGAAGAAUAAGUAAGGGUUAAUAUCUCUUACGAUGACGGUACUGUUUGUAAGCUCCGGCUAACUCCGUGCCAGCAGCCGCGGUAAUACGGGGGGAGCAAGCGUUGUUCGGAUUUACUGGGCGUAAAGGGCGCGUAGGCGGCCACCGCAAGUCAGUUGUGAAAUCUCUGGGCUUAACCCAGAAAGGUCAACUGAUACUGCGGGGCUAGAGUGCAGAAGGGGCAACUGGAAUUCUCGGUGUAGCGGUGAAAUGCGUAGAUAUCGAGAGGAACACCUGCGGCGAAAGCGGGUUGCUGGGCUGACACUGACGCUGAUGCGCGAAAGCUAGGGGAGCGAACGGGAUUAGAUACCCCGGUAGUCCUAGCCUUAAACGAUGAAUGCUUGGUGUC